UACGAAGGGUGCAAGCGUUAAUCGGAAUUACUGGGCGUAAAGCGCGCGUAGGUGGUUCAGUAAGUUGGAUGUGAAAUCCCCGGGCUCAACCUGGGAACUGCAUCCAAAACUGCUGAGCUAGAGUACGGUAGAGGGUGGUGGAAUUUCCUGUGUAGCGGUGAAAUGCGUAGAUAUAGGAAGGAACACCAGUGGCGAAGGCGACCACCUGGACUGAAACUGACACUGAGGUGCGAAAGCGUGGGGAGCAAACAGG
rnacentral:rRNA from 1 species